CAGGGCCUCCGUCCGAGGCGGGGCGCUGGGGCCGGCAGUGGCGCGGGUAGGGGUCCGGACCCCGUGCGCCCGGGGCCCGCGGCCGUCCGCCUGGCCCUGCCCGCCCUCCCCGGGCUGGGCCCAGCAGACCGAGCGCCGGGCGCGAGGGGCCCAGGGCAGGGCCCAUCUCAGCCCCGCCCGACGCCCACCGCGGGGGCAGGGCCUACGCCCCCCCUUCCCCCCACCAGCCGAGGUCCGUGGUCGGCCCAGGGCGAAGCGUCGGAAAGAGCUGUUCCUGUGUCACUCUUUUCUCGGGGCACUUUCCGGUUCUGCGGGGUAGGAAAUCCUCUCCUGGACUCGAAAUUGCAACAGAUUCUCUGAUAACGUUCUGCCCUUGAAGACCUGCAACUGCUCUCCUCUGGGCCCUCUGCCUGCCCCCCAUGACCCGCCGCCCACCUGCCGCCCAGAUGAGUGUUCUAGGUACAGGAGAAACCGGAAUGAUCUGGCCAUUUACUGAAACCCGCUAAAGCAGAGCCCUGAGCCCUCUGUCCCCUUGUACCGUCCCAGGCGGAAAGGCUGGUCUGAGGGUAUGGGGUGGCAAACUGGUUAGCCGCGAGGCCUCGGAGAGGGGGCUGGGGAUUUC